CCAAUAGCGUAUAUUAAAGUUGUUGCAGUUAAAAAGCUCGUAGUUGAAUUUCGGGAUCAAAGAAUCGGUCAUGCUUUGGUAUGUACUGGUUUUAUUGGUUCUCACCUUCUAAAGAACCAUAAUGUCAUUUAUUUGAUGUUAUGGGGGAUUAGGACUGUUACCUUGAAAAAAUUAGAGUGUUUAAAGCAAGCUUACGCUUG
rnacentral:rRNA from 1 species